rnacentral:rRNA from 1 species
AGUGAACGCUGGCGGUAGGCCUAACACAUGCAAGUCGAACGGCAGCACAGUAAGAGCUUGCUCUUCCGGGUGGCGAGUGGCGUACGGGUGAGGAAUACAUCGGAAUCUACUUUUUCGUGGGGGAUAACGUAGGGAAACUUACGCUAAUACCGCAUACGACCUACGGGUGAAAGCAUGGGAUCUUCGGACCUUGCGCGAUUGAAUUAGCCGAUGUCGGAUUAGCUAGUUGGCGGGGUAAAGGCCCACCAAGGCGACGAUCCGUAGCUGGUCUGAGAGGAUGAUCGGCGACACUGGAACUGAGACACGGUCCAGGCUCCUAAGAGAGGCAGCAGUGGGGAAUAGGGGACAAUGGGCGCAAGCCUGAUCCAGCCAGACCGCGUGGGUGAAGAAGGCCUUCGGGUUGUAAAGCCCUUUUGUUGGGAAAGAAAAGCAGCAGGUUAAGACCCCGCUGUUCUGACGGUACCCAAAGAAGAAGCACCGGCUAACUUCGUG